AUUAUACUUCCUCUGUUCGAAAAUACUUGUCCUAAAAAUGGAUAAAAUGUAUGUAUCUAUAAUUAAAAUAAGUCUAGAUACAACCAUUCCUAAGAAAAGUAUUUCCGGACGGAGAGAGUACAAU
rfam:Triticum aestivum genome assembly, contig: Triticum_aestivum_CS42_TGACv1_scaffold_272941_3DS